UGUUUAUGAUGGCAUAGGACCUUGUCUGACAAUAAUGAUUUCAAAAUUUAAGCUUAAAGUGGCACUCUGACAAAA